AACGAACGCUGGCGGCAUGCCUAACACAUGCAAGUCGAACGAGACCUUCGGGUCUAGUGGCGCACGGGUGCGUAACGCGUGGGAACCUGCCCUGAGGUUCGGAAUAACUCCCCGAAAGGGGUGCUGAUACCGGAUAAUGUCUUCGGACCAAAGAUUUAUCGCCUUUGGAUGGGCCCGCGUUGGAUUAGCUAGUUGGUAGGGUAAAAGCCUACCAAGGCGACGAUCCAUAGCUGGUCUGAGAGGAUGAUCAGCCACACUGGGACUGAGACACGGCCCAGACUCCUACGGGAGGCAGCAGGGGGGAAUAUUGGACGAUGGGCGAAAGCCUGAUCCAGCCAUGCCGCGUGAGUGAUGAAGGCCUUAGGGUUGUAAAGCUCUUUUACCCGGGAUGAUAAUGACAGUACCGGGAGAAUAAGCUCCGGCUAACUCCGUG
rnacentral:rRNA from 1 species